rnacentral:rRNA from 1 species
AUACGGAGGGGGCAAGCGUUACUCGGAAUUAUUGGGCGUAAAGGGCGCGUAGGCGGUUCCGUGCGUCGGAGGUGAAAUCCCCGGGCUUAACCCGGGAGCUGCCUCCGAUACGGCGGGACUUGAGUCCGGGAGAGGGGAGCAGAAUUCCCAGUGUAGCGGUGAAAUGCGUAGAUAUUGGGAGGAAUACCAGUGGCGAAGGCGGCUCCCUGGACCGGUACUGACGCUGAGGCGCGAAAGCGUGGGUAGC